UAGGGAAUCUUCGGCAAUGGGGGGAACCCUGACCGAGCAACGCCGCGUGAGUGAAGAAGGUUUUCGGAUCGUAAAGCUCUGUUGUUAGAGAAGAACAGCGCAUAGGGUAACUGUUAUGCGUGUGACGGUAUCUAACCAGAAAGCCACGGCUAACUACGUGCCAGCAGCCGCGGUAAUACGUAGGUGGCAAGCGUUGUCCGGAUUUAUUGGGCGUAAAGCGAGCGCAGGCGGUCAAUUAAGUCUGAUGUGAAAGCCCCCGGCUCAACCGGGGAGGGUCAUUGGAAACUGGUUGACUUGAGUGCAGAAGAGGAGAGUGGAAUUCCAUGUGUAGCGGUGAAAUGCGUAGAUAUAUGGAGGAACACCAGUGGCGAAGGCGACUCUCUGGUCUGUAACUGACGCUGAGGCUCGAAAGCGUGGGUAGCAAACAGG
rnacentral:rRNA from 1 species